rnacentral:rRNA from 1 species
UGCGAACGUUGUUCGGAUUCACUGGGCAUAAAGGGCGCGUAGGCGGACGGUCAAGUCGGGGGUGAAAUCUUUCAGCUUAACUGGAAAAGUGCCUCCGAUACUGAUCGUCUCGAGGGAGGUAGGGGCAUGUGGAACUUCCGGUGGAGCGGUGAAAUGCGUAGAUAUCGGAAGGAACGCCGGUGGCGAAAGCGACGUGCUGGACCUCUUCUGACGCUGAGGCGCGAAAGCUAGGGGAGCAAACGGG